ACGGAUGUGGAACGUAUAAGAUAAUCUCGCAUAUUCGUAUGUACGCACACUUUCAUAUGGACGCACCGACAAGAGUUCACGAUCCACUUUCUUUAAAAAAUCUGAAAUAGGUGAGCCAACCCCAACCUACAUGGGUGUUGCUGUGUAUGCCAUUCGUUUGCCUAUUUCUUUCGUCUAGCCACUUGACGUGCGAUCCCAAAAUGAAAGAAACGAGUUCCAGCAGCUGAAUAAAGGGGCGAAAAGAACACACAAAAAGUGAGCGUCAUUUCUGCCGCCGCAAUCGGCGUUGCAAUAAUCUAUAGCCGUAUGCAAAUCACAGCACUCCGCAAAACAUGAUUUCGCGUGCCAGCAAUAGACUCAACCGGUUCUUUGUCUACGCAGGCUGUCUUCUUGUUUUCCAACAAACCGUACAGUCACGUAUGAUAAUUUCACGGUGUAUUGCUGCAAAAUUGAAUUUGCCUCAUCAUCGGCCUGUUUUUUCCUAUAUACGCCUCCCCCACUCGAUUGUUGUUGUUUUUUUUUUAUCCUGUGAACUGGGUGUCGUGGGUUAAUCUUCAUCCUUGAAUAAUUUUAUUUCUCAAUGAAGCAAUCUCAACAUACCUGUUUUUUUGUUUUUUAAUGUUAUUGUAAUUACGCAUUUAAAUCGCCAUUCACGGGUUUCAAGGGGAAAUUAGAAACUCAUGGGAUGCAGCACUAUACCGACAACACUUGCAAAUAAUUAAACUUAAUGAUAAGCAA